UCGACCCUUACCCGAGCCCUAAAAACUCUCCACGCCGAAGCCUCCUAUAUCCCGAUCUCCUCUCCCUCUUGCGGCACCGAAUCCCUUUCUUCCCCUCUCGCUCGAACAGCCACAGAUGCCAUCUUCUCCUCACCUUCGAUCGCCGGAGCUGGAUCUGCCGCCGAGCUCCCGGAGUUGCCCUCCCUUGCACGGGUUACCUUACGGCCAAGAGCAGAGAGGUGUCGUCCUUUCACGUGCGGCACAACCUUACGAGACCUAGCAUCGUCGAAGACGCCGACCAUCAGCAGCCCGUCGCCGGUGUAGAUGCACACCGAGCGCCGUGUCGCCUUUACCGCCGAUCACCCUAGCGUUGUCGCCCCUUCAUGUGAGCCUAGAUCAUUGCGGCUUAAUUUCUCGAUCUGCCGGCACUAAGAGCCACUCGCACUCCACCCAAGUGCCGCCGAUGAUACACUUCUCUAUUUCCCUCUUCCCCUCGUGUUCAUCGCUGCCACUUGAUCAUCUACCCGAGCCCUAGAGUCAAGCUGAUUUCGUCAGGUUUUCCUUCGCAGCUUGAGAUUGGUUCUAUCAUCAAGGUAGGUUAAGAACUGUUUUGUAGCUCUAUCUCUGGUUCCAACAGCUAUCUUGAUGUCCUUUUGGAGUAUCUUUACCCAGCUCUGAUUGUAUCUGUGUGUGGGUGAUCCAUAGCUCAAGCCACAAGUUUCCAGCAGCAAUGUUCCCAGCUGCAAAUCUACAACAGAGCGCAUUGAAUUAGGGCGUUAGUUUGAGACGAGCGUCUCAACAGGGGAUUGUUUAGCUCGAUCUACAUUUAAGGCGGGUACUUCUUGCUUUAUCCCUUUAGCACAUUGAUCUUAGUGCAUGAGCUAUAUGUUUAGAUGGCUACUAUGUUUAUCUUGACUCCAUUCUUAUUUUUCCU